rnacentral:rRNA from 1 species
GACGAACGCUGGCGGCGUGCCUAAUACAUGCAAGUAGAACGCUGAAGGAGGAGCUUGCUUCUCUGGAUGAGUUGCGAACGGGUGAGUAACGCGUAGGUAACCUGCCUGGUAGCGGGGGAUAACUAUUGGAAACGAUAGCUAAUACCGCAUAAUAGUAGAUGUUGCAUGACAUUUGCUUAAAAGGUGCAAUUGCAUCACUACCAGAUGGACCUGCGUUGUAUUAGCUAGUUGGUGGGGUAACGGCUCACCAAGGCGAUGAUACAUAGCCGACCUGAGAGGGUGAUCGGCCACACUGGGACUGAGACACGGCCCAGACUCCUACGGGAGGCAGCAGUAGGGAAUCUUCGGCAAUGGACGGAAGUCUGACCGAGCAACGCCGCGUGAGUGAAGAAGGUUUUCGGAUCGUAAAGCUCUGUUGUAAGAGAAGAACGAGUGUGAGAGUGGAAAGUUCACACUGUGACGGUAUCUUACCAGAAAGGGACGGCUAACUACGUG